CCUUGUAGCGGCUGGCUACGUCUACAACUGUCAGGGCGUACUUACAGGUUUUACCUCUAACCCUGUCGUGUGGAAGAAACAACAGGUCGGCCUGGUGAACUUGAUUAGGUGUAUGUAUACCGAAUUUUCUCCUCGGUAUAUAUUUUGGUGCUGAAUGUUGUCAUGAAGAAC